rnacentral:rRNA from 1 species
ACAGUCCUGGGAAAUUGGGUUUAAUACCGCAUAAGCUCUACGGAGUAAAGUGGCCUUCGGGUCACGCUUUAAGAUGGGCUCGCGUCCUAUCAGCUUGUUGGUGAGGUAAAGGCUCACCAAGGCGACGACGGAUAGCUGGUCUUAGAGGAUGAUCAGUCACACUGGAACUGAGACACGGUCCAGACACCUACGGGUGGCAGCAGUCGAGAAUCAUUCACAAUGGACGCAAGUCUGAUGGUGCAACGCCGCGUGGAGGAUGAAGGCCCUAGGGUCGUAAACUCCUGUCAUAGUAGAGUAAGGCAUAUUAGUUAAUAGCUAGUAUGUUUGAUAGUAUACUAAGAGGAAGGGACGGCUAACUUCGUGCCAGCAGCCGCGGUAAUACGAAGGUCCCGAGCGUUAUUCGGAAUCACUGGGCGUAAA